rnacentral:sRNA from 1 species
CAUCAUAUACUAAUUGAGGGCAUAUAAAAUGUACAUGACAAUCUAUAGCCCCAGCUGUUACAAUCAAGCCCUCUCCAGCAAUAACUUCAGUAUUAGCCUAUAGAUGGGACGAUGCGUAUAUAAGCAGUAUCAAGAUAAUUAUGAAGGAAUUCAAUUCAUUGCCUCGGAUAUCUGAAAAAGAACUUACCCCAAUGAUCAUAUUAACAGAUACACCAUCCAUAAUGUCUGGAUUUCCUGCUUUCCCAAUUGAUGAAAUAAGGCCAUUUUUAAUACCAAUAUCUGCUUUGAAAAUUCCAGUAUAAUCGAUGAUCACAGCAUUUGUUAUAACAGUAUCCAAAGAGCAAUCAGGUGGAUGGCCACACGACUGACCCAUUCCAUCUCUUAUG